CCAAGUGUAGAACCCGGACAGGGGGUUGGAGCUUUAACUCUUCCCUUUAUGCUUAUGCUGCUCGCCGAAGAAGCAAGUGGUGCCUCCCCCGUUCACCCCGGGGUAUCCCCCGCCUUUCCUCACCCCCUUCCUCUCUCCCUCCUGACUCCCCCCCUACCUCCCCCUGUCAUUCGACUCAAGGUGGGAGGGGGCGAUCAAAGAGAGGGAGGUUGCAGCGCAGGCGCUACUGACGCUGCGGCGCCAACGGCCUCCAUUCUAGCUUUCUGUGGCGAUCGUGGCUGCGGCUGCGACUGGAAACUUCUGGAAGUGGCAGCGGCGGCGAGCUUCUUUUUGGGCACCACCUGAGAUCAAGGACCCUGAGAAGAUGAGGGCUUUGACUAAAGCAAAAGUGGCGGGUCCGACUGGAACUAGAGAAGUCAUCAGUCUGUCAAAGAUAUCGUCCCCCUGAAUGUAAUGGUUAUGUGAGGAAUGGAUAUCAGAGAAGAAAUGGAAUAGGUUAUGACCUUGCGAGCUUCAAAAGCUUAGAAGAGCCAUCAGAAGUCCAGGAACCGGAGUCCACAGCAGAGACUUUGCUGCCAGCCUAGUCCAGUGAGAAGGCAGUUCUCAGGAAUUAUCUGUUUGCCCCAUCCCAGGAAUGAAUUGACUCAGCUGAUGAGACACCAUGUCCAACAAUCUAAGGAGCAAUUUAUCCAUCAACUAUAUUGAAUCUACUUUGUUAAAACGUGAACACAAUUGGAGAAAUGUUCUUAGCAGCUUCUUUAAGUCUGAACCCACUCCUGGGUUCUGAGGUGGUUGAUGAAAUUGGGCUCUCAGUUUCAGAGGUUUUUAAAUUUGGGUUCUUGCAAUAUC